GAAACAUAGUUUAAAUUUAAAUUUAAAAGAAAAUCCAAAUCGUCGAGAGAAAUAGAAAAAAAUAAGUGAAGAUCAAAACCGAAGAAAUACGAAAAAGAACAAGCAAAAGAUUAAAACCGACUCCAGCUCUAUUGAAGCAGCCAAAGUCAAAGAUUGGAAAAUAAUAACUUGAGGAAGUUGAGAGAAGGAGGCGGAGGUUUAGGAGAGAGUGAGAGGUUUUGAUAGAUGAAUUACCUUAUUUAAUGAUUCUUGACCUAUUCAGUAUCUUUUAUUUAGUCAUUUUGAUUAUAAAUAAAUUAUUUAUUUUGAUUAUUUUGGAAUCAUACUAAAUUUAGAAUAUGUCGGAUUUGAUGGUUAACAUUAAUUAUACAUUUAUAAGGAAAAUUUGAUUGUAUUAUAAAACAAAAAUUUAUAGUUAACUAUCAAACUAAAAAGUUUAGUUAUGAUAUUCAAUAUAUCUAUCCUAUACUAAAAGCCCGAUAUAGAGUGAUUUCACAGUGUCCACGUCGACAAAUUUAUUCGGCCAAUCAAAACAUUUCAAUAAUACACGUAUGAUCUCCUAAAGAUGUUGCUUUUGUAUGGGCUUUAAUGUGGUUUUAUUGGGCUUCACGGUUUCAAUCUACUGGUACAAUUAGAAAAAAAAAACCUGAGACGGAUAACACGAUGCUCUCUCCUCUAUCUCUUCGUCUUCGCCGUUUCCUCUCUAUCGUUUCAGUUCUCUCGAUCCUCAUCUCCAUAAUCAAUACUCCAUUACAUCUCGAUCCAUCAAUCUCUUCUUUAUGAUUUCGAUUCCGUUUACUCUUUCCUAUAUACUGAUUUUCUCUCUUGAGUGCAAACCAAACCAGCUCAUCUCCGAGGAUCUCAGCCGCCGCUACUUCCACCAGCCCAUCUCCGCCGUCGUUUACUGCCACUCACGCGGCGUGAGCUGAUGGGCGUGGAUAUGCUACUUAUUGAUCCAAGGCAAAGCUCAUCCACGUCUUUAUCAAUGUUCACCGUCUUAACACCUUUAAACCAAAUCCGCAACGAAGCAGGUUCACUUAGGUCUCAAUUUCAAGUUAUUAGCUAAUUUCCAAAGAGUUUCAAGUUAUUAGCUAAUUUCCAAAGACAAGCAUAUAGGUUUUUCACAAAAUAUGUUGAGAUGUAUAUAUAGCAUUCAUAUUUUGUCAUAUACUAAAAACUACCUAUAAAUAAUGCUGCUUUUUAAGUACCAUAAACACUAACGGAAUCCAUUUCAGGAAACUACCGGAGCUUGGGUGAGAUCGCCAUGAAAGCAUAGAAGCAAUAUCCAGCCAACGAAUUUACUUUAUUAAUCUCAUACAAGUUUACAGGCUUAAAAAAAAAGUUUACAGACUUAACGUAGGAUGGUUAUCGUGAAUGCAAUAUACCUUGCGCUGUUUAUUGUUCUAUCGCCUGUCUCACCUAAUAAUAUGUCUCAUAAUUUUGUUUUGGUCACUUUUAUUGUGCCUCAUAGUCAGUAAUGUUUCUUUCAUUCAUCACGCCAUUUUCAGGCUCAAAAGGAACGAAUGAAGCAAGAAAUUACAGGAACGGAUCCCACAACAGCCUAACGCCACCAAAAGACGCAAGUAAAAGGCUUCCUCUGGUGAGUGGUGAUGAGCUACAAAAUCAAAGGGAUGACAAACGAAUUUGAAGAGUUGGGCAGUCCACAAAGAGAGAGAUGAUGCUGUCACUGCCAAGCAUUAUCGACAUCUUGAAAAUUUUAAGAGAAGGGAAAGGGCACUAAUGGCCGAGUUGGGGAGCCUGUUCAUGGUUCUAUUGGCAAGAACCGAGAUGUAACUGAGGAGAAGAGUAGCUUUGACCUUGCAGAAACCAAAUAUGGAAACACGGUUGAGAAACGCAGUUAGUAAACUUUUCAAACUUCUAAUGCCCACGGAGAAAUACACCACAGGAGUAAAGAACAUGGUGCUUGAGACACUGUCUUCUGCAAAAAUUGAAGGCUUCGUGGAUGGAUUCAGAGGUGAAACCAAAGCGGCCAGCACGGAAAAGACGGUGGACAAGUAGUUGAGAAUCAUAAGCUGGAGAUGAAGUAAAGAGCAAUGAAAUGGCAUCUUUGGCUAGAUCGAGGGAAAAUCUGAUGCUUCAUGUAGCCUCUUAUGCUUAGACGUAUGACAUGAGAUUUUCUCAUCCCACCGAUCAGUUGUGCCGGUAGCGACAAGGAGUAUCAAGUUCAAUGCAAACCAAUUAGGAGAUUAAGAAGAGUGUGUGUGGGGGAGAGAGAGGCUGUGCUGUGUAAGAAUAGGGAGAGGGAAUACUCAUAAGGAUGAAUUUGAGAGAAUUUUGUUGUAGUCAUUGUAGUCAUAAACGGUUAAUUUCAUUAGUUUUCCCAACA